rnacentral:misc_RNA from 1 species
GAUGAAGAACGUAGCGAAAUGCGAUAAAUAAUGUGAAUUACAGAAUUCAGUGAAUCAUCGAGUCUUUGAACGCACAUUGCGCCCCCUGGUAUUCCGGGGGGCAUGCCUGUCCGAGCGUCAUUGCUGCCCUCAAGCACGGCUUAUGUGUUGGGCCUCCGUCCUCCUCCCGGGGGACGGGCCCGAAAGGCAGCGGCGGCACCGCGUCCGGUCCUCGAGCGUAUGGGGCUUCGUCACCCGCUCUUGUAGGCCCGGCCGGCGCUUGCCGACACAUCAAUCUUUUUUCCAGGUUGACCUCGGAUCAGGUAGGGAUACCCGCUGAACUUAAGCAUAUCAAUAAGCGGAGGA